rnacentral:rRNA from 1 species
GACGAACGCUGGCGGCGUGCCUAACACAUGCAAGUCAACGGGGGUAUUUAUUUCGAUGAAUACCUUAGUGGCGAACGGGUGAGUAACGCGUGAGCAACCUAUCCUUAAAGGGGGAUAACAUCUGGAACAGAUGCUAAUACCGCAUAAGACCACACUGCCGCAUGGCAGAGGGGUCAAAGGAGCAAUCCGUUUAAGGAGGGGCUCGCGUCCCAUUAGAUAGUUGGUGAGGUAACAGCUCACCAAGUCAGCGAUGGGUAGCCGAGCUGAGAGGCUGAUCGGCCACACUGGAACUGAGACACGGUCCAGACUCCUACGGGAGGCAGCAGUGGGGAAUAUUGGGCAAUGGGGGGAACCCUGACCCAGCAACGCCGCGUGAGGGAAGAAGGCCUUCGGGUUGUAAACCUCUGUCAUUAGGGAAGAAGAAAGUGACGGUACCUAAUGAGGAAGCCCCGGCUAACUACGUG